GUAAGUCCCAGCGGUCUCUUUGUUCCCCUUUUAGAGAUAGGUCCUGUCUUGUUCAUGGAUGGGAAGAUGUUCUUUUUUAGGGAUCUCAGACAAGAACUGGGCCACAACACCAGGUUUGUUUAGGCCACAAAUAUGGAGGCAGGAACCUCUUCUCUCCUGCUGGCAAAGAACCCCAGGUACCUAAAAGACAGGGACUCACAUCCCUGAAUGGGCUUUAAAAAAGGCACUGGUUAAAGAUUGGCCCCGACCAUUUUUGUUUCCACAUACUAGACAUUUUUGCAAACUUCAGAAUUCCUUGGUGCUAAACACUGUGAAACUAGGAAAAUAAGGGUUCAGUCCUGUAACUGGGGGGGUCUUGCCAGCAGUAACGGGCGUGAAAGCCUGUGUGCACUAAUGACAGCAGCAGCUCUGGGACUCGACCCAUAGGGAGAAGAGAUGGGAGUGAGCAGGUUAUGUUUGUGCCAGGUGUGAGUUACUCAUGUGGGAAUUCUGCACCGCUGCGUGUGCACAGAAUUCACGUCCAGCACAGAAUUUCUUUUUUUUUGGUUUGAAGAAGAUACAUUCUGCCUGAGAAGUGCUGCAGUUCUGCCUUUCACCCACCAGAGGCCCCUGUGGCACCAGAACAGGCAGCAGCCAGCUGGGUUCAUCUUGGUGGUGAUUUGUUGCCCUGAGCUCUACCCCAAAUGGGAAGAGAGUUAGUGGGUGGAACUUGGGAGAGUCCUGAGACACGGCUGCCUCUGGGGGUGGGGACAGGGUGGUCAUUCUCUACUCGCAAGAGGGUGUGGAAGGGGCACAGGAGGAGCAAGUGUCCCCUAUGGAGACUGCCCAGCCCCAGGUUAUCCAGUCCCAGAUGCUUCUUCCCCCACCAUAUCCCAAACCUCUUCACCCCUCCAACCAUCAGUUGCCAGUCUUCCCUCGCUUCCAGCCCUUCCUGACUGGCAGAGACCCUCUAAGCCAGUAGCGUGUUAGGGCUCAACCUUCUGGCUGAGUCCUCAGGGCACUUUCUUCCUCUCUCGGGGGGCCCCACAAAUCUACAUUGCUUAGGGUUUGGCUUAUUUAAAAGGAAACGAGAGUUGUUUAUGAAGGUAAAGCAGGUAAUCCUAUAGAUGCAGACAAGUUACAGUCUUCAAUUUCAAGAGGUAAUAGUCUAUAAUAAGCAAACCCUAUAUCUUCCUUAGGACUAACCCAGGCUAGUCAGCUAAGCUUUACCAAACUACCUGCUACACAUUCAAAUCUUUCUGUACACACACAAUAGAAAUUGGGGUUCUGAGAAAUGGCAACUUUCCUUUAACACAGAUCAUUGUUUUCUGUUCUUCCAGAGGCAUUGAAAUAGAAGCACAUUACCUUUCAACAGCUGCUAUUUCAUGAUCUGCAGCAGAGCCUCUUUCAAUUUACCACCCAUAGAGAUGAUUGUUUCUAACUGCAGGGUUAGCCAGACCAUUCUGUAACAUUAUCGCUCUGUUUACAAAGCCUUUGGUUAGUGACAAAUCAUGAGACUUAUCCCUUCCUGCUGUAAUUCAACUGACUCCAGUGUUCUCUUUCCCCAGUUCUGGUUCCAAGAAAAGAAACAAAACAAGCUUCAGAACUAACAUGCUGUGGGAAAGUGGAAAUGUUGAUAGCUCAAAUUAUUCAGUUUCUUCUGUGUCUCGUGUAUGUCUAUCUCUUUCAUGUGUGUGACCGGUGGGGCUUUUUCUUUGCUCCAGGCAGGUUCAACCCUGUCAGAUUUGUCUGUGGGGAGGGGCCAGAGAAAACAGACACCCUGGCCUUCCAGGUUGGGGUUAGGCAAAGGAAUAACAACCCUGUCCCAUAAAAAACAAAAUAUGUUACAGAAACAGUGGUAGGAACAGUGCUAGAGAAACUGG